rnacentral:rRNA from 1 species
UCGGUUGAUCCUGCCGGACCUUACUGCUAUCGGGGUGGGACUAAGACAUGCGAGUCACGUGUCUCUAGCUAUGUUGAGACACGGCAGACGGCUCAGUAACGCGUGGCUAACCUGCCCUCAGGACGAAGAUAACCCCGGGAAACUGGGGAUAAUAUUCGAUAGGUGAGGAUGUCUGGAAUGACUUCUCUCCUAAAGGACCUAGAUACAUGCUUCUAUGUCGCCUGGGGAUGGGGCCGCGCCCGAUCAGGUUGUUGGUGAGGUAACGGCUCACCAAGCCUAUAACCGGUACGGGCCGUGAGAGCGGUAGCCCGGAGAUGGGUACUGAGACAAGGACCCAGGCCCUACGGGGCGCAGCAGUCGCGAAAACUCCGCAAUGCACGAAAGUGUGACGGGGCUACCCCGAGUGCCAUCCGCUGAGGAUGGCUUUUCUUUGGUAUAACUAGCCAUUGGAAUAAGGAGAGGGCAAGACUGGUGUCAGCCGCCGCGGUAAUACCAGCUCUCCGAGUGGUAGGGAUGAUUAUUGGGCUUAAAGCGUCCGUAGCCGGCUUAGCAAGUUUCCUGUUAAACCCAGCGACUCAAUCGUUGGAUCGCGGGAAAUACUACUAGGCUAGGAGGCGGGAGAGGUCAACGGUACUUCUGGGGUAGGGGUGAAAUCCUAUAAUCCCGGGAGGACCACCAGUGGCGAAGGCUGUUGACUAGAACGCGCUCGACGGUGAGGGACGAAAGCUGGGGGAGCGAACCGGAUUAGAUACCCGGGUAGUCCCAGCUGUAAACGAUGCGAGCUAGGUGUUGGGAUGGCUACGGGCCAUUUCAGUGCCGCAGGGAAGCCAUUAAGCUCGCCGCCUGGGGAGUACGGCCGCAAGGCUGAAACUUAAAGGAAUUGGCGG